rnacentral:lncRNA from 1 species
UUCCUCUCAUGUUAACGAUCUCAGCUAACUGCAAUGUAGUUAUCUUUUAAAUUAGCCAAGAAAAGACCACUUUUUUACAAAAGGUAUUUUAGCCAAUAUGGGUUCAUAGAUCUCUAAUAUCCACAAAUCAUUAAUAAAAUAACAGAUUCUUUUUGAGAGGAAAUGCUUGCUCUCUACUCAUCGGGUUGUCUAAAUAGUUUGCAUUAAUAUUAAAUGGUUGUUGAAAAAAAAUAACACAACAAUGAGCCUUAGCAAAAAACAGAUACUUACUGAACACUGACUACAUAUCAGACACUGAGCUAAUAACUUUUCACACAUUGUCCCAUUUAAUUUCCACAACCUUAAGAGCCAUACCCUAUUUUUAUUUCCAUUUUACAGAAGAGGAAACCAAAGGUAAAGAACAAUUAAGCAACUUGUCCAAGGUCACACAGGGAAAGGGAUGGAACUAAGAUUUGACCUCAAAACCUACGUUUUUGCAUUCCCUGGAGGAGAAGCCAAUAGAGUCAGGUUUAGGAAGUGGUAGAGAAGCUCUAUCUUCACCCUUUCAGGGUCUGCGUCUCAACCUGCACCUUAAAAAUGAAGGCUUUGGGUUAAGAAAUGGGCACUUAAUCUAUGUGGUUGUGAACAUUAAUUAGAUCCUUAAAAAUCAUUUAAAGUAUUUUGAGAUUCUCAUAUGGUGAGUAUUUUGAAUAUCUCAUACAAUUAUGCCUGUAAUAUAAGGUGAAUUGUUUCUGUCCAUGGCUCUGAACGUAACUAUUUACCUUUGGUUUCCCUGAUGGAGGUGAUCCCAGGUAAACUGGCGCUCUGAUGCUGAUGGUGGAGUUUCCAGGCAAACUUCCCUCCCGGGCCCUCAGUCCAUCCACAACCAAGCGCCCCUUUUCUCCAUCAUGGCCAAACACCACCUUCAGAGUAAGAAAGAUACGUGAGUUGUAUUUUUACCUUUGACAAUUGGUGUUGUAUUUUAUUAAAUAUUAGUGGCCAAAUUAAAAAAAAAAUGUUUUCAUGCUCCUUCAAAUAGCUUCAAAAGAUGAGAGAUUUUUUCCUCCGGUUAUCACUGUCACCAUCGUUUUGUGAGAUUAUGUGAAAUACUGAGCAAACUGAGCUCAAAA